CACGUCACAAACAUUCAUUAGAAAUGAGAGAAGAAUAUUAAAUUAAAACAAUACCGUGCUACCGACGGACGACCAUUAAUAUAUUGGACUUUAUUGUUAUGAGUACAACUUGUACAAGCAGUAAGUACAACAUGUCCGUUAAGUUCAUAGUUACCUGCAGAAACGUUAUCAGUAGGCAGUGUUGGUUAGUAACGCAACGCAAACUAUUACAAAUUUCUGUAACGAAAUUACUUUUUCAGUAACGGUGCAGUAAUGUUUCAUUACAUUUUAUUUAAAUUAACGCAAUAGUAACUAGGUACUUUAAAAGUAAUUUCCAUGGUGUAACGCAUUAUUUUCGACGUUAUUAAAUGAUGUUGUCAAUGACAAAACUCCAAAACCUAGAGGCUAGGAUCACCGUGGUACAAAGAAUAAUACUACUAUAUUACUACCAUUAUAAUAUUACUCUUUUUACUAUGCUAGGGUAUACGAAAAAAAGGAAAAAAUCAAUUAAAUUAACUACUAACAAUUCCGAAAUGUUUAGAUAUUAAUCAACAAUAUUAUUAAAGAUCUCAGGAAUUAAUGUUUUUCAACGGAAAACAAAAUAAAAUACAAUUCAAAUUAAUUAUGAUCUAUGACUAUAAUAAUAAUUAAUAUUAUUAAUAUGAUUAUUUGACGUACUUUAUUACUGUUAUAUCUUCCUCAAUGGUACCUCACCAAUCACCAAGGCUGGGCAUUAGCGAGUUAAAAAGUUUAAAGGUUUAGUUAAUUUUAAUUUAUCAACAUAACAAGUUACUUCCUUUUAAAAGUACCUUCUAACUCAACGAGUUAAAUUUUUUUCCGUGUUAUGAGUAAUUAAUUGAAUUAUAACUUAAUUUUUGAAGAGAAAACUUCUCUUGUUAGGCUCUGCUCUCCGCUUGGAUCAUGGGAGCUAAAGCGUGAAAAUAUCAUCGACACAUUUAUAGUGCAUUCAUUCUAUAUAUGUGUGUAUGUGUGUGUGUGCGCGCCAGCAGUAGUGUCGCUGUAGCUGAACACAUACGUUUCUUCUAAAUACACGUGUUAUGUGUAUAUACUUGCUUGUGAUUUUUAAAGUGAUAACUUUCAUUAUAUUAUGAUAGAAGAAACUAAUUCAGAAUCAUCAAACAAUGAAAUUGUAGCUAAGUAAGUUUAUAUUGAAAAUAUACUUAUUUAUUUCAAUUAUUUAGUUGCAUAAGGUUUCUAUAAUAAUAAUUAAUAAAGAAUUUUGUAUCAAAGUAAAAAUUGCUAUUGUUUUAAUUUCUAUUACAUGUUUUUUUUAUGUUAGUGUCAAAAAAAAAAAAAAAAAAACAAAUGCUGAACGUCAAAAAGAAUAUCGACAGCGUAAAAAACAAAAUGAUAAAAUGUGUAGUUCAAUAAAUGCAUCAAAUACUGAGUAUCAACAAAGAGUUGAAAGAAAAUUCCAUGCCAACGUCAAAAAGAAUAUGAGCAGCGACUAAAAAAUUUGCCAAGUGAAUCACAGGGCUCUCUUUUUGACAAUUUACAAAGUGAAAAAAAUUCGCACGAAUGCAAAAAGUAUCGAGCUACAAGGAAUGGGAAAACUUUUGAAGAAGAUGAUGAUUUUUCUAAUUUAAGAAAUAUUAGUAGAAGUGUUCACUUCUAUCUACCGUCCCAAGACAGUCAUUCAGUUUAUUUUCCAAAAACCACUGAUUUAAAAUAAUAUAUUCUAUUUUGUAAAAAUAAACUUUAUAAAGGUCCCCACACACUGCAGUGGUGGUGGUGAAUUGAUACAGGACACAUUUCAGCGCUCACCGCGGCGUUAAAACCAAUACAAUGGAAUUUAAUGCCACUGCUGCAGUGUGUGGAGACCUUUAAAAAAAAAUAACAAUAAUCCGAAAUAUCUAAAUGAAUACUCAGUUAGACCACUAAAAAUAUUACAAAGAAAAAUUGUUAAAAUCUGUUUAUGUAAAAAUACUUUAGAAGGUUCAAAUGUAGAAAAUUUUAAGCUAUUGAAUGUGUAUAUAAGAAAGUGACUAUUUUAUAUAUUAUAAUAAAAAUUAUAAAAAAUGUUUGAAUGCGGAAAAUAUAAGAAAAAAACAGAAGUAAUGGCAUUUGAUGUUAAAAUAAAUUAUUACAAAAUAUAAUUUGAUGUAAAAUACAUGGAUUGUAUUAUUAUUUAGGUCGAAAAUAUUACAGUUCAUUUUUAAAUAUGGCAUUACAUAUAAAAAAAACUUAUAUUCCCUUCAAUUGAGAAUCUUUGAAUUACAUGUAUGAUAAAACAAAUUAAUUUAUGGUUAUUUUCAUUAAUAAUUUAAAUGUAAGGAAAUAAUUGAAUAAUGAAUUUCAAACAUAACAUUAUUAAUUUUCUUGUGUUUACUUUGUCUUGUUGUUCUAUGCUAUUAUAUUUAAAUUUAGUUGUAUUAUUUAUUAGUAUGUAUUUUUA